AUUGAACGCUGGCGGCAUGCUUUACACAUGCAAGUCGAACGGUAACAGGCCGCAAGGUGCUGACGAGUGGCGAACGGGUGAGUAAUGCAUCGGAACAUGCCCAGUCGUGGGGGAUAACGCAGCGAAAGCUGCGCUAAUACCGCAUACGAUCUAUGGAUGAAAGCGGGGGACCGUAAGGACUCGCGCGAUUGGAGCGGCCGAUGUCAGAUUAGGUAGUUGGUGGGGUAAGGGCUCACCAAGCCAACGAUCUGUAGCUGGUCUGAGAGGACGACCAGCCACACUGGGACUGAGACACGGCCCAGACUCCUACGGGAGGCAGCAGUGGGGAAUUUUGGACAAUGGGCGCAAGCCUGAUCCAGCAAUGCCGCGUGCAGGAAGAAGGCCUUCGGGUUGUAAACUGCUUUUGUACGGAACGAAACGGUCCUGGUUAAUACCUGGGGCUAUGACGGUACCGUAAGAAUAAGCACCGGCUAACUACGUGCCAGCCGCCGCCGUAACAC
rnacentral:rRNA from 1 species